UACGUAGGGGGCAAGCGUUGUCCGGAUUCAUUGGGCGUAAAGGGUGCGUAGGUGGCGCCGUAAGUCAGGUGUGAAAUUUCGGAGCUUAACUCCGAAACUGCAUUCGAUACUGCGGUGCUUGAGGACUGGAGAGGAGACUGGAAUUCAUGGUGUAGCAGUGAAAUGCGUAGAGAUCAUGAGGAAGACCAGUGGCGAAGGCGGGUCUCUGGACAGUUCCUGACACUGAGGCACGAAGGCCAGGGGAGCAAACGGG
rnacentral:rRNA from 1 species